AUUGAACGCUGGCGGCAGGCCUAACAAAUGCAAGGCGCACGAGUGGCGGACGGGUGAGUAAUGUCUGGGAAACUGCCCGAUGGAGGGGGAUAACUACUGGAAACGGUAGCUAAUACCGCAUACCAUAGGAUGAGCCCAAGUGAGAUUAGGUAGUUGGUGAGGUAAAGGCUCAACAAGCAGACGAUCUCUAGCUGGUCUGAGAGGAUGACCAGCCACACCGUGACUGCGACACGGCCCAGACUCCUACGGGAGGCAGCAGUGGGGAAUAUUGCGCAAUGGGUGCAACCCUGACGCAGCCGUGCCGCGUGGAUGAAGAAGGCCUUCGGGUUGUAAAGUUCUUUCGGUAGCGAGGCGUUAACUACAUAAGAAGCACCGGCUAACUCCGUGCCAGCAGCCGCGGUAAUUC
rnacentral:rRNA from 1 species